AUUGAACGCUGGCGGCAUGCUUUACACAUGCAAGUCGAACGGGUGCGGGGGGCAACUCCUGCAUUAGUGGCGAACGGGUGAGUAAUGCAUCGGAACGUACCGUGUAGUGGGGGAUAACGAGUCGAAAGAUUCGCUAAUACCGCAUACGUCCUGAGGGGGAAAGCGGGGGACCCGAGAGGGCCUUGUGCUAUACGAGCGGCCGAUGUCCGAUUAGCUAGUUGGUGGGGUAAAGGCCUACCAAGGCGACGAUCGGUAGCGGGUCUGAGAGGACGGCCCGCCACACUGGGACUGAGACACGGCCCAGACUCCUACGGGAGGCAGCAGUGGGGAAUUUUGGACAAUGGGCGCAAGCCUGAUCCAGCCAUGCCGCGUGAGUGAAGAAGGCCUUCGGGUUGUAAAGCUCUUUCGGCCGGGAAGAAAUCGCAUAGGUUAAUACCCUGUGUGGAUGACGGUACCGGAAUAAGAAGCACCGGCUAACUACGUGCCAGCCGCCGCCGUAAAAC
rnacentral:rRNA from 1 species